AUGUUUGAAACAAUUAAUUGUAAUCAGUUUCGACCUGAUAUUUAAGUUAAAAUUCUAACUCAAACUUA
rnacentral:tRNA from 1 species